UUCUAUGGCCAUACCACCCUGAACAUGCCCAAUCUCAUCUGAUCUCAGAAACUAAGCAGGGUCGGACAUUGUUAGUACUUGGAUGGGAGAAACAGGAUAUGUUUCCUUCAAUA
ensembl:rRNA 5S_rRNA 5S ribosomal RNA